rnacentral:rRNA from 1 species
CCUACGGGAGGCAGCAGUAGGGAAUCUUUCACAAUGGGCGAAAGCCUGAUGGAGCAACGCCGCGUGCAGGAUGAAGGCCUUCGGGUUGUAAACUGCUUUUAUAAGCGAGAAAUAUGAUGGUAACUUAUGAAUAAGGAUCGGCUAACUACGUGCCAGCAGCCGCGGUAAU